UACCUGAGUGACUAGCAUUAUUCGGCGUGAUUGGGCGUAAAGGAUACGUAGACGGAAUUACUAAAAAAUUUACUAAAUUCAUAAAAGAUGGAAAAUUUUUAUAAAAAUUCUAGAGUAAAUAUAGAGAGGAGGAAUUUUCUCAGACAACGAUAAAAUGUAAAGACCUGAGGAUGUUUGCCCUUGGUUAAUGCGCUUCUCUUAUAUUUUCUGACGUUGAGGUAUGAAAGUAGGGAUCAUAAACAGG
rnacentral:rRNA from 1 species